rnacentral:lncRNA from 1 species
CCUACAGAUAUUACUAACGUUGUGCCCACAACAGACGUCUCAGAUCUCACUGACUCCUUAAAGAAGAAGAGAAGGGAUGGAAAAAUACUUCCAAAUACUUGAAGUACUGCUGUGUGUGACUUUCUCAGAGAAGCGUUGCCCUUCAUGUUCAAGAGCAUCUAGAAACACACUACAGACUUGGAUUGGUGAAUGGAACCUUUUGGCCUGUUUGACAAGACUAUCAGCAUUCUU